rnacentral:lncRNA from 1 species
UUCCCAUGCUGCAAAUUUGUGGGUAGCUAACAAGGUUCUUGAUGGUUUGGUUUCAGACCCUCCAACUCCCAUUACUGAAGCAUGCCACAGGUCUCUUAAUUUGUAAUUUGUAAGCCCAAUGCAGCAGUUUAGGUCUCAAUAACCUGCAACAUGGAAGUUACCAACUGUUGAAUGAUGGCCAACUAUGCUGGUUCAUUUAGUUCCAUUGUAAUUCAGUUCUAAACCAAUGUAUUUUGUUUAUGCACUGAUAUGUUAGGUGCUGAUUGACAUGUUUUAGUUUAUGUACAAGUUAUGUUUUUUAAGUUUCAAGAUAGAUAGUGGUAGUAGUUAAGUAUUUGGUAGUUUUUUUGACUUUAAGAUGUAAUGUUUUCUGAUGAAAGAUGUGUGAGCUUCUUUGCAUCUGUUUAUCUUUCUUGUUCCCUCUGUUUUUACUCUCUCUGAACACCGACAAUUGGUAUUGAGAGCUGCUAUCUUUGAGGGCUUUUUGUUUUCCUUCUUUGUGUUUUCUUGUGUUGAAAGAAAGUUUUUGUUUUCUCUUGUUGUUGUUACAAUGUCAUUAGAAAGCUUCUCACCACCUCUGUAACACCCCGAACCCGAGACCGUCGCCGGAGUCGAACACGAGGUGUUAACAGACUUCAAACCACUUAUUUGACAUUUCCCAGACAAGCUGUCAAUCUACGUACUAGUCACUUUAAAAAUCAUAUAUUGAGUUCUGAAACUCAAAAUCCAGUUCCGUAAAUUUUCCCUGGAACUAGACUCAUAUACCUAUAUGGUAGAAUUUUUGUAAAAUUUUUGGUCGGGCCAAUUAGUACAGUUUAUUAGUUAAUUUCUCCCCUAUUACAGGGUGCGACUACACUGACCUUCAUGCAUUACAAUUUGGAUAACUCCCUGCACAGAGCUUCAAUACUGAUGCCGUUUGUUUCUAUAGAAACUAGACUCAGAGAGGAAUCUAUACAUAUAUGGCAUGACUCCUAAUUAUCUCUGGUUAAUUUAUAAUGAAUUUCCAAAGUCGGAACAGGGAACCCAGAAACCGUUCUGGCCCUGUCUCACGAGAACCUGAAUAUCUCUUAACAUACUGUCCAUAUGAUCGUUUCGUUACUUCUAUAUGAAAAUAGACUCAUCGAGCUUCGAUUAGAUAAUUUAUUCACUAUUUAAUUCCAUUCCUACUAAUUUUUGUAAUUUUUCAAUCCCACGUCACUGCUGCUGCCAGCAUCUGUUACUGAAGCAACUAUGCCCAUUUCGUGAUUUCUCAUUGAUCUAACUAGUAAUUCAUCAUACAUAUCACAAAAUUAUAAUCAUGACUAGCCAUACCAAAGGCUAAUCAUUGUCAAACAUCUCCCUACUACACUAUUGCCAUAUCAUGAAUCUUAACACCAAAAUUAAUCAGCCAUGACAUAUGGCAUAAAAAUCGAAUUACCAAGACUUACGACCUAACGUUAUAAAACCAAAUCCAACCGAACAUUUAUGCCAUUUUCGCAUGGCUAAAAGUUUACAUACCAAAUUUCAACAAAACAUAUUAGCCUAUACAUGCCGAAAUGUUCUCCUAGACCGACUAAAAAGAAGAUACCAAAAGUUGCUAGCCGGUGUGAUGACUCCGAUGACGGCCCAAUCACGCAAAAAGAGACGAGUCCAAGAAACCUAAAAUAGGUGACAAGGAAACACCGAGUGAGUAUAUAACUCAGUAAGUCAUAAGCAAUGCACUACCAUCCAUUAAUAACAUUAUCACAAGAGGAAACAAAAUGGAACGGGGCUAGUUACUCCAUCCAUACCGAACCAUACCAUAGUUCCUUAAACCUAUCGGUUCAAUCUCAUACCAAGUCAUGCAUUCACAUUCCAUAUACUAAUCAAUAGGAUAUUUGAGGCAUUUUCAUACAUCAUUUUAUUUUCGUUACAAUCAUACAACUAAACGACCUUUCACCUAUUCCACGAUAAAUCUUAUGUACGUGACUUCAAUUAUAAUUGUCACAUAGGUUCAAACUUACCAAGCUCAACUUCAAAUAUAAACAUAGCGCCUAUUAGUCACGAACUCAAGGUACUUACCCGAUCCGCUGUCCGUGAUCAACUCAAUAAUGUCGCACACUUAGUGUCCAUAGUGAUUCAAAAGUAUAUAUUAAGUCCGCACACUCAGUGCUAUAUAAUCAACUCGCACACUUAGUGCUAUAUAAUCAAACUCGCACACUUAGUACUGUACAAUUUAAACCCGCACACUUAGCGCCAAUCUCAUGAUCAUAAAUGUUUAUACCCGCACACUUAGUGCCGAGAUCAACAACUCAAUACAUCUCACCUCUUUUCUUUUCAUUCAACACUUUCAUCACCACAUACAUACAUGUAUAUAUAUUUAUCAUUCCAUUCAGCAUCAUUACAUAGACGUUAUGACCAUUUAAAUUAAUACAAACUAUAUGCUUAAUGACUUACUUUAUGUUGGGUAAAAUAAUUCCAAGUCGGCUACUCGAUGACCUUCGAUUUCCCCUUGUUGGACGCCUCUCCUUUAGGUUCUUGAGCUUAAAUAAAUAAAUCAACUAGUUUAAUUACCUUGCUAGUUAUUUAUAUCCCAUAACAUUAAUAGUUUCAUAUCAAAAGAAGCAUACGGCAACAUUUUAUUUUUAUUCACCUUAUGCUUUUUACUAACUUUAAGCCAUUCGGCUAUUGAUCACCUAAGAUCCAAUUACUAAAAUUAACCCAAUAAAUAUUUCAAUAAAACACACAUAAAUAUUAUAUACAUGGCAACCACCCUUGUUAAUUACUCAUAUAUAUUUUAAUAAUUUUCGUUUCAUCUUACAACCAUUCUUGUUCAAAACAUUAGAACCUUAACUAAUACUUAUAAAUUGUCUCAAGGCCGAAUGCAUUCUUACUUCCAAAGUAACAUAGUAGAUGAUAUAUUUUAUUUCAAGGUACAUAUUCAUAAAUCAAAUUCAACCAUAUAAACCAAUAUCACCCACUUGAUCAAUUAUAGAGAAUUAAAGUUAAUAUCACAAUGUGUACUCUAUAUGGCCCAUUAUACAUAAUCAAAUUUAACAUCAUCUAUAUAUUUACUCAUAUGGCCGAAUAUACAUACCCCCAUAUAAUAUCAUUUUCAUUCCAUUUAACACUUAAUUUCCACCACAUAAACACUUGGCCGAAUAAUCCUAAACUAGCAAAACUCCACAUUUGUUCAUACCAUCUUUUAAAUUCACAUAUAUCUAUUUAGGUAGCUCAUAUUUUCCCCUUUCUAAUAUUUCAAUCCAAAAUAUCAAAACACCAUCCUUUUAGCAUUUAUCCAAUAAUACCGUAUGCACAAUUUGUCACCAAAACUAAAGAAAAAUCAACAUAUGGGUUACAAUAAGAGCUUGACUACUACUAGAUUCUCAUAAAAAUCAAUAGAAAUAACAUGAACUCCUACCUUAUUUAACCUCCAAGAUAGCCGAAUGCCCUAGACAAAUUCCUUCCUCUUUCCCCUUUUGUUUCGGCUUUGCAAGAAGGUAAGGAAGAUGAACACACUCUUUCUUUUUUUUUUUCUCUUUUCUUUGUCUAGUUACGGCAAAUGGAGGGGGGGAUGGAUGAGACAACUUUGUUUUCAUCACCCCUCCCUUUUCAUUACUUAAUUACUAACCCUUUUAUUUAUUCUUUCUAACAUAACACACUAAGCCAACAUGUUCCCAACAUGUUUCCACCCAUAGCAUGGCCAGCCAUUAGCUCAAAUUUUGGGUAAUUUGACAUGCAAACCCAUAAUUUUCAUAACAUGCAUUAAUAGGCCACUUCACAUUUGCCUAGCACAUUUCUAAAUUUUCUUACAUAAGUCCUAUUUAAUAAAAUUCACUUACAAUUAACAAAAUUCAAGCAUGAAAUUUUCACACAUGCAUAUAUACAUAUAAUAAGCAUCAAAUAUGAUGGCUAAUUAUUAGUAUGACUCGGUUUUGUGGUCCCGAAACCACUUCCCGACUAGGGUCAAUUUUGGGCUGUCACAACUCUCCCCCACUCAAGAAAUUUUCAUCCCCGAAAAUCUUACCGAUAAAUAGGUUUGGGUAUCGUUCUUUCAUCGAGCUCUCGGUUUCCCAAGUAGCUUCCUCGAUCCCGUGUUUGAGCCAUAACACCUUUACUAACGGAACCCUUUUGUUUCGCAACUCCUUCAUUUCACGAGCUAGGAUACGCAUCGACUCUUCUUCAUAACUCAUAUCGGCUUGAAUUUCAACCUCCGACGGACUAAUUAUGUGCGAAGGAUCAGAUCUAUAGCGUCGAAGCAUCGAAACAUGAAAGACGUCGUGAAUCUUUUCAAGUUCAGGGGGUAAAAUCAAUCGAUACGCAACUGGACCGACUCGUUCGGAUAUUUCGUAUGGCCCAAUGAAUCUCAGACUCAACUUGCCCUUUCGGCCAAAUCUGAGUACCUUUUUCCAAGGUGAAACUUUAAGAAACACUUUAUCUCCCACCUGAUAUUCAAUAUCUUUUCGUUUCAAAUCCGCAUACGAUUUCUGACGAUCUGUGGCUGCCUUUAGACUUUCACGGAUUACCCUUACUUUCUGUUCGGCAUCUUUAAUCAAAUCGACUCCGAAAAUUUUACUUUCACCGAGCUCGGUCCAAAAUAAUGGUGUACGGCAUUUACGACCGUACAAAGCCUCGUAAGGUGCCAUCUUAAUACUUGAUUGAAAACUAUUGUUGUAAGCGAAUUCAAUCAAAGGUAAAUACCGUUCCCAUGAACCACUAAACUCGAGGAUGCAACAUCUCAACAUAUCCUCAAGUAUCUGAAUUAUCCGCUCGGAUUAACCAUCGGUUUGUGGAUGAAAAGCGGUGCUAAAAUGCAGCUUGGUACCCAAAGCUUCUUGCAAUUUCUUCCAAAAUCGCGAGGUGAAUCUCGGAUCUCUAUCCGACACGAUAGAAAUAGGUACCCCGUGUAAUCUCACAAUCUGAGAAACAUACAAUUCGGCUAGUUUAUCCAAUGAAAAAUCCGUACGCACGGGGAUAAAGUGAGCCGACUUAGUCAGUCUAUCAACAACAACCCAAAUCGCAUCCUUCUUACUUGCUGACAAUGGCAGUCCGGACACAAAGUCCAUUGUGACUCGAUCCCAUUUCCACUCGGGUAUCAUGAUCAGCUGAAGUAAUCCUGAAGGCACUUAAUGUUCCGCUUUCACUUGUUGACAUAUUAAACAUCUCGAAACAAAGUCGGAGAUGUCCCGUUUCAUACCAUGCCAUCAAAACUGACGUUUCAAAUCGUUGUACAUUUUCGUACUCCCCAGGUGAAUUGACAUUCGGCUACAAUGGGCUUCGUUCAGAAUCAUCGAAAUGAGUUCUGAAUUUCUUGGAACACACAACUGACUUCUGAACCUCAAACAAUCGUUAUCAUCAAUUUGAAAUUCAGAUUCCAUAUUCGGAAUACAUUCAGCCCGUUUUGCAACCAAUUCAUCGUCGACUUUUUGAGCUUCACGAAUUUGAUGAAUCAAUAAUGGUUUGGCCUUUAAUUCAGCUACUAACACAUUGUCGGAUAGAACAGACAAGUGCACAUUCAUCGCUCGUAAAGCAAACAGCGAUUUCUGGCUUAAGGCGUCCGCAACCACAUUAGCCUUUCCCGGGUGGUAAUCAAUGACAAGCUCGUAAUCUUUCAACAACUCAAGCCAACGUCUUUGUCGCAGAUUUAAGUCUCUUUGAGUCAUCAAAUAUUUGAGACUUUUGUGAUCCGAAAAUACAUGGCACUUUUCGCCAAACAAAUAAUGUCGCCAUAUUUUCAAAGCAAAUACGAUGGCGGCUAGUUUGAGAUCAUGGGUUGGAUAAUUUCUCUCGUGUGGCUUCAAUUGUCUCGACGCAUAGGCCACAACUCGACCUUCUUGCAUCAAUACGCAACCCAACCCGAGUAGGGAUGCGUCACUAUAAAUGACAAACUCUUUGCCUGAUUCGGGUUGCACUAAAAUUGGAGCUUCAGUCAAAUGAGUUUUCAGUUGAUCGAAGCUUUUCUGACAUUUCUCCGUCCAUUCGAACUUAGCAUCCUUUUGAAGUAGCUUUGUCAUUGGUGUGGCUAUCAUCGAGAAACCUUUUACAAAUCGUCGGUAAUAACCGGCGAGCCCCAGGAAGCUCCGAACUUCGGUAACAUUUCUUGGAGGCUUCCAGUUAAGUAUGGCUGAAAUUUUGCUCGGGUCAACUCGAAUACCCGAUGCGGAUACCACAUGACCCAAGAAACUAACCUCUCUUAACCAGAACUCACACUUACUGAACUUAGCAUAUAACUUCUUAUCCCGCAAAAUUUGCAACACUAAUCUCAAGUGCUCAGCAUGUUCGGUCUCAUCUCCUGAAUAGACUAAGAUGUCAUCAAUGAACACAACUACGAACCGGUCCAAAUACUGUCUGAAGAUCCGAUUCAUCAAAUCCAUAAAUACCGCAGGGGCAUUAGUGAGCCCGAACGGUAUCACUAAGAACUCGUAGUGACCGUACCUCGUUCUGAAAGCAGUUUUGGGUACGUCCGAAUCUUGAAUCCGCAACUGAUAAUAACUCGAUCUCAAAUCUAUCUUUGAAAACACUGAGGCUCCCUUUAGUUGAUCAAACAAAUCAUCAAUACGCGGUAAUGGAUAUUUAUUCUUUAUCGUCACUUUAUUCAGUUGACGAUAGUCAAUGCACAACCUCAUGGUUCCGUCCUUCUUUUUCACGAACAAUAUUGGUGCACCCCAAGGUGAGAAACUUGGUCGAGCGAAACCUCUAUCCGUCAACUCUUGCAAUUGAGCUUUCAAUUCCUUUAACUCGGUUAGUGCCAUACGAUACGGAGCUAUCGAAAUUGGCGUAGUUCCAGGUACAAGCUCAAUACCAAACUCUAUCUCCCGAACAGGUGGCAAACCCGGUAACUCUUCAAGAAAAACAUCCGGGUAUUCACAAACCACCGGCACAGAUUCGGGUUUCUUUUCUAAUUCUUUGUCAUCAAGUACAUACGCAAGGUAUGCUUCGCACCCUUUUCUUACAUAUUUCUGGGCCAACAUUGCUGAUAUUACAGCUGGCAACCCCCUUAAGUCCGUAGACUCAACUCGGAUUAUCUCGUUAUUUGCACACCUCAAAUCAAUAGUCUUGCUUUUACAAUUCACAACCGCAUCAUGCGCGGUCAACCAAUCCAAACCAAGAAUAACAUCAAAUUCGUCAAACGGCAAAAGCAUCAAAUCGGCCGGAAAACAGGAUUCUCGGAUUAUUAGAGGGCAUCUCUUACACACUUUAUCAACAAGUACGUAUUGACCCAAAGGGUUUGACACUCGAAUUACGAACUCAGUAGACUCAACAGGUAGAGUCUUACUGGAUGCUAAGGUUUCGCAUACAUAUGAAUGAGUAGAGCUAGGGUCAAUCAAUGCAAUCACUUUAGUAUCAACGAGAGUGAAGGUACCAGUGAUGACUUCAGGGGAGGAUGCCUCCUCUCGUGCGCGAAUGGAAUAUGCUCUAGCAGGAGUACGGUUCUCGGUUCGAACAGCCGUAUCAGAGGCCCCUCUCUGACUACCACCCCUACCUCCUAAAAUUCUCGGUGGUCUACCUCUAGUUGUCACUCCACUAGGUCUUGCACCUUGAAUCUUAUUCUUCUCAUCAAGCUCCGUGCAAUCUCUAAUGAAGUGGUCCUUCGAACCGCAUCCGUAACAGGCCCUGUUAGUAGACUUACCCCAACAUUCACCUAGGUGUCGUCUUCCGCAUUGGGGACAUUCAGGUUUCUCUUGACGAUUAUUGCCUACACUAGCUACUGAAGUAGCUCGGGAGUCCGUCGAUGGUCGUGCUCUGAUGGAAAUUCCCGCAGUCGUCCUCGACUUAUUAGUGUCCUCCCUGAACUUCUUUACAGCUGAGAACGGAGCUUUACCCGUCGAUCUUUUACGAUAGUCUCUAGCUUCAAAUUCAGCCUUCUUCUUCUCAUUUCCAAGUUCUUCCGCCUUGCAGGCUCGUUCGACUAGUGUUACGAAUUCUUUUAUCUCCAAAAUACCCACUAGUAGCUUUAAAUCUUCAUUCAAUCCUUCUUCGAAUCUUUUGCACAUAGCAACCUCAUCAGCUACACACUCCCGGGCAUACCUACUGAGUCUUAUGAAUUCAUGUUCGUAUUCAGAUACUGUCAUACGGCCUUGCUUGAGUUCCAAGAAUUCCUUGCGCUUUUGAUCAAUGAACCGUUGACUAAUAUAUUUCUUUCGAAAUUCCGUUUGAAAGAAGUCCCAAGUAACUCGUUCGUUUGGGACUAUGGAAAUCAGGGUCCUCCACCAAUAGUAGGCUGAGUCCCGCAACAAGGAUAUAGCACACUUUAGACAUUCAUCGGGUGUGCAUGACAGUUCAUCAAACACCCGAAUGGUGUUAUCAAGCCAGAACUCGGCCCUUUCAGCAUCAUCAGUAACUAUGGCCCUGAACUCCUCAGCCCCGCGCUUCCUAAUCAAGUCUAUAGGUGGCUUACUCAGCCUCACAGGAUCAGUGACUGAUGGCAUUACGGGCUCUUGGGGUGGAUUAUUCAAAUUUGGGAAUUGUUGGACAGCCGGAUUGGUUCGGGCAUAUUGCGCGACCCACUCAUUCAUCAUGGUAAAGAAGGCUUGUUUAGCCCCCUCACCUUGAUUAUUCGCAGAUGACUGAGGUUCAACAGGCGGUGUCCCUUGUGCAGGAGCAGCCGCUACACUUUCAACGUCAUCCGCCAAGGUUCUCUCUACACCGGGAUCCAUUUACUAAUCAAAACAAAAAUUUUAACCGUCAGAAGUCAUCACACAUUUAAACAUUAACAUUAAGGCAUGUAUAGCUAGACUCAUACGUGCUAUGGUAGUCCUAGAACCGACUAAACCAUAGCUCUGAUACCAAUAAAAUUGUAACACCCCGAACCCGAGACCGUCACCGGAGUCGAACACGAGGUGUUAACAGACUUCAAACCACUUAUUUGACAUUUCCCAGACAAGCUUCCAAUCUGCGUACUAGUCACUUUAAAAAUCAUAUCUUGAGUUCUGAAACUCGAAAUCCAGUUCCGUAAAUUUUCCCUGGAACUAGACUCAUAUACCUAUAUGGUAGAAUUUUUGUAAAAUUUUUGGUUGGGCCAAUUAGUACAGUUUAUUAGUUAAAUUCUCCCCUAUUACAGGGUGCGACUACACUGACCUUCAUGCAUUACGAUUUGGAUAACUCCCUGCACAGAGCUUCAAUACUGAUGCCGUUUGUUUCUAUAGAAACUAGACUCAGAGAGGAAUCUAUACAUAUAUGGCAUACUGUCCAUAUGAUCGUUUCGUUACUUCUAUAUGAAAAUAGACUCAUCGAGCUUCGAUUAGAUAAUUUAUUCACUAUUUAAUUCCAUUCCUACUAAUUUUUGUAAUUUUUCAAUCCCACGUCACUGCUGCUGCCAGCAUCUGUUACUGAAGCAACUAUGCCCAUUUCGUGAUUUCUCAUUGAUCUAACUAGUAAUUCAUCAUACAUAUCACAAAAUUAUAAUCAUGACUAGCCAUACCAAAGGCUAAUCAUUGUCAAACAUCUCCCUACUACACUAUUGCCAUAUCAUGAAUCUUAACACCAAAAUUAAUCAGCCAUGACAUAUGGCAUAAAAAUCGAAUUACCAAGACUUACGACCUAACGUUAUAAAACCAAAUCCAACCGAACAUUUAUGCCAUUUUCGCAUGGCUAAAAGUUUGCAUACCAAAUUUCAACAAAACAUAUUAGCCUAUACAUGCCGAAAUGUUCUCCUAGACCGACUAAAAAGAAGAUACCAAAAGUUGCUAGCCGGUGUGAUGACUCCGAUGACGGCCCGAUCACGCAAAAAGAGACGAGUCCAAGAAACCUAAAAUAGGUGACAAGGAAACACCGAGUGAGUAUAUAACUCAGUAAGUCAUAAGCAAUGCACUACCAUCCAUUAAUAACAUUAUCACAAGAGGAAACAAAAUGGAACGGGGCUAGUUACUCCAUCCAUACCGAACCAUACCAUAGUUCCUUAAACCUAUCGGUUCAAUCUCAUACCAAGUCAUGCAUUCACAUUCCAUAUACUAAUCAAUAGGAUAUUUGAGGUAUUUUCAUACAUCAUUUUAUUUUCGUUACAAUCAUACAACUAAACGACCUUUCACCUAUUCCACGAUAAAUCUUAUGUACGUGACUUCAAUUAUAAUUGUCACAUAGGUUCAAACUUACCAAGCUCAACUUCAAAUAUAAACAUAGCGCCUAUUAGUCACGAACUCAAGGUACUUACCCGAUCCGCUGUCCGUGAUCAACUCAAUAAUGUCGCACACUUAGUGUCCAUAGUGAUUCAAAAGUAUAUAUUAAGUCCGCACACUCAGUGCUAUAUAAUCAACUCGCACACUAAGUGCUAUAUAAUCAAACUCGCACACUUAGUGCUGUACAAUUUAAACCCGCACACUUAGCGCCAAUCUCAUGAUCAUAAAUGUUUAUACCCGCACACUUAGUGCCGAGAUCAACAACUCAAUACAUCUCACCUCUUUUCUUUUCAUUCAACACUUUCAUCACCACAUACAUACAUGUAUAUAUAUAUUUAUCAUUCCAUUCAGCAUCAUUACAUAGACGUUAUGACCAUUUAAAUUAAUACAAACUAUAUGCUUAAUGACUUACUUUAUGUUGGGUAAAAUAAUUCCAAGUCGGCUACUCGAUGACCUUCGAUUUCCCCUUGUUGGACGCCUCUCCUUUAGGUUCUUGAGCUUAAAUAAAUAAAUCAACUAGUUUAAUUACCUUGCUAGUUAUUUAUUUCCCGUAACAUUAAUAGUUUCAUAUCAAAAGAAGCAUACGGCAACAUUUUAUUUUUAUUCACCUUAUGCUUUUUUACUAACUUUAAGCCAUUCGGCUAUUGAUCACCUAAGAUCCAAUUACUAAAAUUAACCCAAUAAAUAUUUCAAUAAAACACACAUAAAUAUUAUAUACACGGAAACCACCCUUGUUAAUUACUCAUAUAUAUUUUAAUAAUUUUCGUUUCAUCUUACAACCAUUCUUGUUCAAAACAUUAGAACCUUAACUAAUACUUAUAAAUUGUCUCAAGGCCGAAUGCAUUCUUACUUCCAAAGUAACAAAGUCGAUGAUAUAUUUUAUUUCAAGGUACAUAUUCAUAAAUCAAAUUCAACCAUAUAAACCAAUAUCACCCACUUGAUCAAUUAUAGAGAAUUAAAGUUAAUAUCACAAUGUGUACUCUAUAUGGCCCAUUAUACAUAAUCAAAUUUAACAUCAUCUAUAUAUUUACUCAUAUGGCCGAAUAUACAUACCCCCAUAUAAUAUCAUUUUCAUUCCAUUUAACACUUAAUUUCCACCACAUAAACACUUGGCCGAAUAAUCCUAAACUAGCAAAACUCCACAUUUGUUCAUACCAUCUUUUAAAUUCACAUAUAUCUAUUUAGGUAGCUCAUAUUUUCCCCUUUCUAAUAUUUCAAUCCAAAAUAUCAAAACACCAUCCUUUUAGCAUUUAUCCAAUAAUACUGUAUGCACAAUUUGUCACCAAAACUAAAGAAAAAUCAACAUAUGGGUUACAAUAAGAGCUUGACUACUACUAGAUUCUCAUAAAAAUCAAUAGAAAUAACAUGAACUCCUACCUUAUUUAACCUCCAAGAUAGCCGAAUGCCCUAGACAAAUUCCUUCCUCUUUCCCCUUUUGUUUCGGCUUUGCAAGAAGGUAAGGAAGAUGAACACACUCUUUCUUUUUUUUUCUCUUUUCUUUGUCUAGUUACGGCAAAUGGAGGGGGGGAUGGAUGAGACAACUUUGUUUUCAUCACCCCUCCCUUUUCAUUACUUAAUUACUAACCCUUUUAUUUAUUCUUUCUAACAUAACACACUAAGCCAACAUGUUCCCAACAUGUUUCCACCCAUAGCAUGGCCAACCACUAGCUCAAAUUUUGGGUAAUUUGACAUGCAAACCCAUCAUUUUCAUAACAUGCAUUAAUAGGCCACUUCACAUUUGCCUAGCACAUUUCUAAAUUUUCUCACAUAAGUCCUAUUUAAUAAAAUUCACUUACAAUUAACAAAAUUCAAGCAUGAAAUUUUCACACAUGCAUAUAUACAUAUAAUAAGCAUCAAAUAUGAUGGCUAAUUAUUAGUAUGACUCGGUUUUGUGGUCCCGAAACCACUUCCCAACUAGGGUCAAUUUUGGGCUGUCACAACCUCCACCUCCUAUCUUUGCUAGGGAAAACUAUCACAUUUGGGUAUUGAAGAUGAAGACUCACCUCCGGGCUUAUGACAUUUGGGAUGUGUUCGAGUCAAACAGGGAGCCAAUCCAACAAUAGCUCAAAUCAGGUAGCAUCAUCGCAUCGCCGUGACAAGAAGAAGCUCCUCGUCACGACGACAAGUGCUUUCCCUGGUUUGGUAGCUUUAUUGUGCUAUUGGGCUCCCAUGUCUCGUGGCUCGAUCAUCAUCCAUUGUAUUCUUGGACCUGAAUUGGCAUCCUACACACUUAAGUAGCCUAUUAAUCCCUCACGAGGCCUGAGCCGGCCUUACGGGUCAUCAAAAUGGUAGAAAAUGAGUAAAAAACAUUUAUUUUAUUAACUUUUAGUUCCUAACUUACUAAUACUGAAAAUGCAAUAAUUAAUUAUAAAAGUGCUAGAAAACAAGCUCAUCAAGUGCAGAAAUGACCUAAAAUAAUUACUACAUUUGAUGUCAAGUCACUUCAUUAACUCAUUGAAACCAGAAAUGAACUGCGUGUUUGAAUAGAAAUAAACAGAAUGAAUAGAAAAGAUGAAUGGGAAACAUUCAGGAAUGAUUAUGAUUUUUUCCCCAAAUGGAAAAAUGAAAUCAUUUGGAAAAAAAUGUAGGUUUUCAAAAUGAAAAUGAAAAUGAUUCAUUUGCAAUUGUAUAUGGAUUACUUAAAAAUAAUCCGAAGAAUGAAUUAAUGUUUUUUGAGCUGUUUUGAAGCUUGAAAAUUAAAAUAAAUCACUCGGUCAUAGUGAACAUGUUGAUUUGUGAAAUAUUAAACAUAUUUUCUCAAAAUUUUACCAAAGGUAAAAUUGUCAAAAUUUUAUUGGGGGUAAAAUAGAGAUGAGAAAAUUGUUUAAUAUAGAAUAUUAAAAUUUUAAUCCAACUGAAUCGGGUUGGAUUGCAUUACAAAAUACUGAGUUAAAAAGCCUAGAAAUUACUCGUAAUUGAACCGAUGUAAGAGAGACCCCAAACCCCUCGUAUAGCAUAAAGUGGGAAACAACCCUAAUAGGAAUAUUAGGGUGUGGAUAAACCUCAAAAGUAACAUAUUUUAAUCCCAUGCUUUGCAUAUUUUUGGAUGAUUUAUCAUAAGAUUUAGUGAAUUUGAUGCUUCUAAUCCUUUAACUUCAUGUUUUAUAUCCAAAUGAGCAUAGGAAAGCGAAAAGUGUAAGAAAAAGGCCAAAAACAGACAAAAUAGGUUUAUUACAGUGCUGCACGCGACCCAGACACUUCCACACGGGUAAUCCACACGCCCGUGUAAGACACACA